GUUAUUUACAUAUUGUAAAAUGUUUUUGAAUGAAUACUUUUUAAUUAUGACGUGUGUAUUAUAAUUGUCAUAAAUGAUCUAAUAUGUACAGGGAAUGCACAUGUGUUUCAGGAUUUGCAUUGUGAUGUUUUGUCGUGUUUAUGUUGCGGAUUUGGGAUGGAUUUUAUUAGACAAACUCGGAUUAAAAUAAAAUUAUACUUAUUGUUUAAAAAAAGAAAAAGUGUCUUGCGUUGCAGCGACGAAAUUAAUUAGAUGGCUGACGUUUCCAGAAGCUAUGACGUAGAUCUAUUGAGGAAGUUGUGGGAAUAUAAUGGUUGCACGCAACAUCGUAAACAUAAAUGUGUAACACAUCAAUAUAUGAUACACUAUUGCUAACACAACGGACAUAUCAGCUAAAAUGAUUGACACUUUGUCACAUUGGAAUUUUUAUAUUGUAGAUUUAAACGACUUUUAAAUUAUGCAUUUCAACAGGUAGGUAAACUGUAAAAAUGGCGAUUGUUGAACUUGAAAUUGUAAACAAAGUGGGGUUUUUUUAUAAUAAAGUUUCCUAACUCUUA